AUUUAAUACUAAUUGAGCAAAAGGAGCAUAAACCAUACACCCAAGAAAGCACACCUGCUUGAAGGCACAAACGCGAGUGAAAUAAAAGUAGUCAUGCGGAGAACUUUGUGUAAUAUCACUCUCUGGUUGAUAAGGAUAAUGGGCACACUAUAUUAUGGCAACAAGGAAAAG
rnacentral:lncRNA from 1 species